GGUGACAUAGCCAACAGGAAAGGCGAAAGACUAGCAUAAAUCUUUGAGUGGUGGUUCGAAUCCGCCUGUCACCU
rnacentral:tRNA from 3 species